UAAUACGAAGGUGGCAAGCGUUACUCGGAAUUACUAGGCGUAAAGCGCAGGUAGGUGGUUGGAUAAGUCUGUUAUGAAAUCUCCCGGCUUAACUGGGAGCGGUUAAUGGAUACUGUCCGGCUCGAGUGUGGGAGAGGUAACUGGAAUUCCAGGUGUAGCGGUGAAAUGCGUAGAUAUCUGGAGGAACACCAAUGGCGAAAGCAGGUUACUGGCCCAAUACUGACACUGAGCUGCGAAAGCUAGGGGAGCAAACAGGAUUAGAUACCCUGGUAGUCCUAGCCAUAAACGAUGUAGACCAGAUGUGGGGGGUAUCGACCCCCUCCGUGUCGACGCUAACGCAUUAAGUCUACCGCCUGGGGAGUACGGCCGCAAGGUUG
rnacentral:rRNA from 1 species